AUUGGAUUGGAGUCACCUUCGUCGACAUUGGAUUACGUGCAUGGAGACGUAGGAGGACGCACAAAUACGCGUAAUGAAUCAGGAUCAGCAAUGAACAUCGGAAUUGGUAUUGGCUGCGCGACAGUUGUUCUCGUCUUGGUAAUCAUUGUUGUUAUUUUAGCAAUUAAAAACAAAAGGAUGGCGAAGAUGUAAGUGCUCGUGCGAUCACACCCUACAACAAACCUGGAGGCGGGAAAUGCCCGGUCGAAUU